AGCCCUAAGUGGGUGGUAAACUCCAUCUAAGGCUAAAUAUGACCACGAGACCGAUAGCGAACAAGUACCGUGAGGGAAAGUUGAAAAGCACUUUGAAGAGAGAGUUCAAGAGUACGUGAAACCGUUUAGGGGUAAACCUGAGAAACCCGAAAGGUCGAAGGAAGAAAUUCAUCGCGUUUCGCCGCAGGCGUCGGACGGUCGUGAGACGGAAAGCGUUCGCGCUUAUUCGCUCCCUCCGCCUCGACGAACCGGCGGCGAACGCGUGCACUUUUCUUCUGGUAGGACGUCGCGAUCCGUUGGGCGUCGGUCUACGGCUCGCGGUGGAGACCGUUCGUACGCGUUCGCGCGCGUACGGGCGGACCCGCGAUGCCCGGCCGACUCGCUCGACGGUAUGCGAAAGGUUUAAGGCCGCUCUUAGCGAGCGUUCGACUCGCGGCAAGCGCGCCGGAUGCGUCGGCGAUCGGACCCGGUGCCGAUUCUGACCUCCGGUGACUGUUGGCCGCGAAGUUCUCGAACAGACCUCUAGACCGAUCUGCGACGCUAUAGCUUUGGGUACUUUCAG
rnacentral:rRNA from 1 species